rnacentral:rRNA from 1 species
AGAGGUGGCAAGCGUUGUUCGGAAUUACUGGGCGUAAAGGGCGCGUAGGCGGCCUUCUUAGUCAGACGUGAAAUCCCCGGGCUUAACUCGGGAACUGCGUCUGAUACUGGAAGGCUGGAGUUCGGGAGAGGGAUGUGGAAUUCCAGGUGUAGCGGUGAAAUGCGUAGAUAUCUGGAGGAACACCGGUGGCGAAGGCAGCAUCCUGGACCGAAACUGACGCUGAUGCGCGAAAGCCAGGGGAGCAAACGGGAUUAGAUACCCCGGUAGUCCUGGCCCUAAACGAUGAGUGCUUGGUGUGGCGGGUAUCGAUCCCUGCCGUGCCGAAGCUAACGCAUUAAGCACUCCGCCUGGGGAGUACGGUCGCAAGGCUGAA